UAGGGAAUCUUCGGCAAUGGACGAAAGUCUGACCGAGCAACGCCGCGUGAGUGAAGAAGGUUUUCGGAUCGUAAAACUCUGUUGUUAGAGAAGAACAAGGACGUUAGUAACUGAACGUCCCCUGACGGUAUCUAACCAGAAAGCCACGGCUAACUACGUGCCAGCAGCCGCGGUAAUACGUAGGUGGCAAGCGUUGUCCGGACUUAUUGGGCGUAAAGCGAGCGCAGGCGGUUUCUUAAGUCUGAUGUGAAAGCCCCCGGCUCAACCGGGGAGGGUCAUUGGAAACUGGGAGACUUGAGUGGAGAAGAGGAGAGUGGAAUUCCAUGUGUAGCGGUGAAAUGCGUAGAUAUAUGGAGGAACACCAGUGGCGAAGGCGGCUCUCUGGUCUGUAACAGACUGUGAGGCUCGAAAGCGUGGGGAGCAAACAGG
rnacentral:rRNA from 1 species